AUGUUCUCUAGUCUCUGCGUUCAUCUCUCUCUCUCUCUCUCUCUGUGUUGCGAUUUUGAUUGAAAUUGGAGUUCGGUUUUCAGGGUUUUUCUACUUUAUCUUUUUGAAAUUUGGUUGCCUUUACUUGACCCUAUACAAUUCUAUGCGGAGUAGGCUCUUUUGAUGAAAGUUGGAAAUGGGGUUUCAAACCAUGGGUUCUAAUGGGAGUGGCCAACAGCCUCAUCUGCAGCCAGUGGCAAGGCAAGACUCAUGGUUUAGCCUCACCCUUGGUGAAAUUGAGAACCAACUGGGAGAGUUGGGCAAGCCUCUAGGCAGCUUGAAUCUUGAUGAAUUACUGAAAAAUGUAUGGACUGCUGAAGCAAAUCAGAUCAAUGGUAUGAUCAUGGAUAGUUCUUCAGUGUCUUCUGAUGAGCAUCAGGCCAGCCAAACAUUGGCUAAGGCUUUUAAUGGUAAGACUGUUGAUGAAGUAUGGAGAGAGAUCCAACAAGGGCAGAAGAUCAAAAAUGUUGGGGAGAUAAAAGGUCAGGAAAGACAACCAACUCUUGGAGAUAUAACCUUGGAACAAUUUUUGAUAAAAGCAGGGAUUUUCGCCGAGGCUUCUUCAGGACCUAUUGUAGGGGUGAAUAAUGUGGCGACUCCAGAAAAGCAUUUGCCACAGAUGGGCCUAUCACUGAAUCCGUCUUUUCACUCAAUAUCAGAUACAUCUGCACCUGGUCAAAAGAGGGAUGCCGCAGAUGCAAUUGAGAAGAUCCUUGACAGGAGACUAAGGAGAAAAAUCAAGAACAGGGAAUCAGCUGCACGUUCACGAGCAAGAAAACAGGCUUACCACAAUGAACUUGUGAGCAAGAUUUCACAUCUUGAAGAGGAAAAUAUGAAGCUGAGGAAAGAAAAGGUUGGCGAUGAAGCUUUUGGCUCCGUUAACAAGUAGGCAAUGGGUUGUGAUUGGUGCGAGAGUGGAGGGGUGGUCCACGCUUAUCUGAUGGGAUUCUGGUGAACACAGAUGUCAGCAGGUUCCUUUGAUGCCUUCAUUGAUGCUUGUAGACAACUCAGAUAGGAUUGAGUGCUGGGUUGAUGGUUUGAAUGAUGGAUUUAUGACUCUGGACUGAUGUGAAGAUGGUGAGCUGUGACGAAGAAGAUGGUUGCAAUGAAUUGUUGAUUUUUUGAAAUUUUCUGGGAAUUGCUAAGACAUUCAAUUAGGGAUUUGUUUUGAAAAUUUAAGAAACCCCCCCGAAGAUCUAGGAAUUUUGGCUCUAAAACGAAUUGAAGUGAACCAAGAGAAGAAGAACAAACUUAAAAAUGAAAAUCAAUUCAAUAAUCAAGACUACUUUCAAUUACAACCUAAAUACCAUAUAUAGGCAACUAAUAGCUAUGAUACUCCCUUAAUGGGGGCUCUAUAAUCCUUAUCUAAUGGGGAUUCUAAUGGAAUCAACAAACUAAUUUAGGAAAUGAAAAAAAACAAUACUAAUUCCUAACAUCUAUGUGUCUGGGCAACUUCAGAUUGUCAUUCAGGUUGAGGCAUUUUGGUGAUGACAGCGAUCUAAUGGUGUGGUGUAAUAGUAUUUUUUAUAGUUGUUCUGGCUGUGAGAAUUUUGCUCAUGGUUUGGUGAAAAAGGCAGCAUUUUCUGUUUUCCGAGGACUUGGAGAAGAUAUUGCCCUGGGAUUUGUCUCCCGAACCAAGAUAUCAGCUACGAAGAACAACUUCAGUCUGACAAAUCCGUACGGAAGUUUUGUAGUUCCCAAAUGUUAGGAUACAAGAUCUGUGGUUCUUGUCUCUUCUGUUACUUGUUUUGGGUACCCGGUGCUUGAUCAACAAUUGGCUUGUUACCGGUCUAUAUGGUCUAUCCUCCUUGGCCCUUGAAGAAGUUGCUGUGGAUUUUCUGUACCUCGUUGCACAUAUAUAGGGGGUUGGUUAUAAAGAACAAAAGAAAGGUUACUUACCUCGGCCAGAUGUUGGUUCUCCAUGUUGUAGUGUUGAAAUAUAUAUGACCGAAUGAAUGUUCAAUCUUUGUGCUUACAA